AGUUCUGUGGGCUGAUGACAAAAGUAAACCCUACAAGAACAUUUAUUGGGGGCUAUCCCUGGUGAUGGUGUGCAAGCUCACCUUAAUUGAGUGAGAAGCCUAAAGUCGCUAUCAUGGUCACCCACCUUAUUCGAACGGGUUUACUUGGAUCACUCAGACCCACAGCUUUU
rnacentral:other from 1 species